GACGAACGCUGGCGGCGUGCUUAACACAUGCAAGUCGAACGGAAAGGCCCUGCUUUUGUGGGGUGCUCGUGUGGCGAACGGGUGAGUAACACGUGAGUAACCUGCCCUUGACUUUGGGAUAACUUCAGGAAACUGGGGAUAAUACCGGAUAGGAGCUCCUGCUGCUUGGUGGGGGUUGGAAAGUUUCGGCGGUUGGGGAUGGACUGGCGGCUUAUCAGCUUGUUGGUGGGGUAGUGGCUUACCAAGGCAUUGACGGGUAGCCGGCCUGAGAGGGUGACCGGCCACAUUGGGACUGGGAUACGGCCCAGACUCCUACGGGAGGCAGCAGUGGGGAAUAUUGCACAAGGGGCGGAAGCCGGAUGCAGCAACGCCGCGUGCGGGAUGACGGCCUUCGGUUGGUAAACCGCUUUGGCCGGUACCGAAGCGUGAGUGACGGUAAUGGGUAAAGAAGCACCGGCUAACUACGUG
rnacentral:rRNA from 1 species